GACGAACGCUGGCGGCGUGCCUAAUACAUGCAAGUCGAACGCUUCUUUCCUCCCGAGUGCUUGCACUCAAUUGGAAAGAGGAGUGGCGGACGGGUGAGUAACACGUGGGUAACCUACCCAUCAGAGGGGGAUAACACUUGGAAACAGGUGCUAAUACCGCAUAACAGUUUAUGCCGCAUGGCAUAAGAGUGAAAGGCGCUUUCGGGUGUCGCUGAUGGAUGGACCCGCGGUGCAUUAGCUAGUUGGUGAGGUAACGGCUCACCAAGGCCACGAUGCAUAGCCGCCCUGAGGGGGUGCUGGCCCCACCUGGGCCUGGACCCCGCCCCAGCCUCCUACGGGAGGCCGAGGGAGGGAAUCUUCGGCAAUGGACGAAAGUCUGACCGAGCAACCCCGCGUGAGUGAAAAAGGUUUUCGGUUCGUAAAACUCUUUUUUUAGAGAAAAACAAGGACUUUAGUAACUGAACGCCCCCUGGCGGUUUUUAACCAGAAAGCCCCCGCUAACUCCGU
rnacentral:rRNA from 1 species